rnacentral:rRNA from 1 species
CUUGCUUCUCUUGAGAGCGGCGGACGGGUGAGUAAUGCCUAGGAAUCUGCCUGGUAGUGGGGGAUAACGCUCGGAAACGGACGCUAAUACCGCAUACGUCCUACGGGAGAAAGCAGGGGACCUUCGGGCCUUGCGCUAUCAGAUGAGCCUAGGUCGGAUUAGCUAGUUGGUGAGGUAAUGGCUCACCAAGGCGACGAUCCGUAACUGGUCUGAGAGGAUGAUCAGUCACACUGGAACUGAGACACGGUCCAGACUCCUACGGGAGGCAGCAGUGGGGAAUAUUGGACAAUGGGCGAAAGCCUGAUCCAGCCAUGCCGCGUGUGUGAAGAAGGUCUUCGGAUUGUAAAGCACUUUAAGUUGGGAGGAAGGGCAGUUACCUAAUACGUAUCUGUUUUGACGUUACCGACAGAAUAAGCACCGGCUAACUCUGUGCCAGCAGCCGCGGUAAUACAGAGGGUGCAAGCGUUAAUCGGAAUUAC